rnacentral:rRNA from 1 species
ACUCCUACGGGAGGCAGCAGUAGGGAAUCUUCGGCAAUGGACGAAAGUCUGACCGAGCAACGCCGCGUGAGUGAAGAAGGUUUUCGGAUCGUAAAACUCUGUUGGUAGAGAAGAACGUUGGUGAGAGUGGAAAGCUCAUCAAGUGACGGUAACUACCCAGAAAGGGACGGCUAACUCUGUGCCAGCAGCCGCGGUAAU